CCCUUAGAUGUUCUGGGCCGCACGCGUGCUACACUGAGUGGAUCAGCGGGUCAGGUUACGCGAGAGCGUUUCCUAAUCUUCAAAUCCGCUCGUGAUGGGGAUUGACGGUUGCAAUUUUCCGUCAUGAACGAGGAAUACCUUGUAAGCGCGGGUCAUCAUCCCGCGCUGAAUACGUCCCUGCCCUUUGUACACACCGCCCGUCGCUCCUACCGAUUGAGUGAUCCGGUGAGGCUUUGGGAUCUAAGCGAAAAGAGCGUUUCGCUCCUUUUGCUGGGAGAACUCAGUCGAACCUUAUCAUUUAGAGGAAGGAGAAGUCGUAACA
rnacentral:rRNA from 1 species